CUGCAUCCCACGUGCACGUCAGUACGAGGAGCGUCCUUGCGCUCCACAAGUCAGAGAAGGGGCCUUCUCUGACUUGUGGAGCGCAAGGACGCUCCUCGUACUGACGUGCACGUGGGAUGCAGGCAC
rnacentral:miRNA from 1 species